GUGAGGAAUUUUCCGCAAUGGGCGAAAGCCUGACGGAGCAAUGCCGCGUGAAGGAUGAAGGCCUAUGGGUUGUAAACUUCUUUUCUCAGAAAAGAAUUAUGACGGUAUCUGAGGAAUAAGCAUCGGCUAACUCUGUGCCAGCAGCCGCGGUAAGACAGAGGAUGCAAGCGUUAUCCGGAAUGAUUGGGCGUAAAGCGUCUGUAGGUUGUUUAAAAAGUAUUCUGUCAAAGAUUAGGGCUUAACCCUAGAUAGGCAGAAUAAACUUUUAAGCUAGAGUUUGGUAGAGGAAGAGGGAAUUCCCGGUGGAGCGGUGAAAUGCGUAGAUAUCGGGAGGAACACCAAAGGCGAAGGCACUCUGCUGGGCCAAUACUAACACUGAGAGACGAAAGCGAGGGGAGCAAAUGGGAUUAGAAACCCGGGUAGUCC
rnacentral:rRNA from 1 species